rnacentral:rRNA from 1 species
GACGAACGCUGGCGGCGUGCUUAACACAUGCAAGUCGAACGGAAAGGCCCUGCUUGCAGGGUACUCGAGUGGCGAACGGGUGAGUAACACGUGGGUGAUCUGCCCUGCACUUCGGGAUAAGCCUGGGAAACUGGGUCUAAUACCGGAUAGGAGCCAUUUUUAGUGUGAUGGUUGGAAAGUUUUUUCGGUGUAGGAUGAGCUCGCGGCCUAUCAGCUUGUUGGUGGGGUAAUGGCCUACCAAGGCGGCGACGGGUAGCCGGCCUGAGAGGGUGGACGGCCACAUUGGGACUGAGAUACGGCCCAGACUCCUACGGGAGGCAGCAGUGGGGAAUAUUGCACCAUGGGCGCCAGCCUGAUGCAGCGACGCCGCGUGGGGGAUGACGGCCUUCGGGUUGUAAACUCCUUUCGCUAGGGACGAAGCUUUUUGUGACGGUACCUAGAUAAGAAGCACCGGCUAACUACGUG